rfam:Trypanosoma cruzi strain CL Brener tcruzi_1047053403903, whole genome shotgun sequence.
CGUAUACUCUCAGUCUUUGCGGAGGUCGUUCUACUGGGCCAAGAGGC